UACGUAGGGUGCAAGCGUUAAUCGGAAUUACUGGGCGUAAAGCGUGCGCAGGCGGCUUUGCAAGACAGAUGUGAAAUCCCCGGGCUUAACCUGGGAACUGCAUUUGUGACUGCAUGGCUAGAGUGCGGCAGAGGGGGAUGGAAUUCCGCGUGUAGCAGUGAAAUGCGUAGAUAUCUGGAGGAACACCGGUGGCGAAGGCGGCAUCCUGGACCGACACUGACGCUGAGGCGCGAAAGCUAGGGUAGCAAACGGG
rnacentral:rRNA from 1 species